ACCCCCCUUAGCACCGGUUCUUGAAAAUCGGUGCCAAAAGAAAUGGGCUCCUGCUUUUCUUUCUUUCUUUAAUUUCUUUCACCCCGUUUUUUCCAUCUUCUCUGUUUUCCCUCUAGUUUUCGCCUUCUCUUCCACCAUCCCGAAAUUUCACCUUCUCCAUUGAAGUGGUUUACGAGAUUUCUCACUCCAUUGAAGCAGCACCUCCUUCUCUCUCCAUAUCUCUGGCCUCCAUUGAACUCGUACUCUAUAUUCUCCAUUAAAGCCGAUUCUGAGCUUUCUCACCUCCAUUGAAGCAGCUUUGAGGGUUCUGGUUUUAUUUCUAUUUUUUGUCGAACAAAAUAAGUAGGAGAAGGAGAGAGUAGGUACUACCCGCCGCCACUCACCCUUUGCCGGCCACCCUCCGUUCCCCUCAGCCGUCCUUCGUGCAUCGGCCACCGACCACCAGCCGCCUAGAUCCACCGCCUUAGACCACCCACCCGUCGGCCACCCAACGACUUUGACCACCCACUGACUAGCAGGCAUUGUAGAUCUAGUUUGUUUGCUCCUCAAAAAAGAGUUCAAAUCCAAAGCUAGAUUGCAAUUGAUUGGAUCUGGAUUAGGGCUGGGUUUCAUUGGAAUUAAUCGUUUUGGAUCCGAUUUUGGGAAAAACAGCGCCAUCCCAUGGCGCUGUUUCGUCGAUUCUUCUAUUGGAAGCCACCUGAUCGGCUUCUUGAAAUUUCUGAGCGAGUUUUAGUGUUUGAUUGCUGCUUCUCUACGGAUGUGUUGAAUGAAGAUGAGUACACAGAAUACCAUUACUGGUAUUGUAACACAGCUACAGGAAUACUUCCCAGAUGCCUCAUUUAUGGUGUUUAACUUUAGAGGAGGGGAUCGAAGGAGUCAUAUUGCUGAUAUAUUGUCUGAGUAUGAUAUGACUGUUAUGGAGGGUAUUGAGGAUGCGAUUUGAGGCUAUUGGGUGAAAACCGAGAGCAAAUUGCCAAAGCUAUGCUGAAGAGGAGAGAGAGAGAGGAAGAGUAGAAAAAGAAGAUGGUGAAAUCUUCAAUGGCGGAAACUCCUAAAGCCUACUUUUCUACGAUUGUGUUAAGGAUCAUCUACCAGGCAUGGACUGAAUCCAGAUUUUGUGGAUCUAGAAGGUCAACUCACUCAUGAGGCUCCACGGGAAGAUGAGAAAGAUCUUGAGAGUGGUCUUGUUUGCAGCUUAUCAGGAGCAAUUCAGCCUAAUUCAUGCGAUGAAGCUCGGAAAAGGCAUGCGAGCAAAUGUCGAGGUAAUGAGCAAAAUCAACUACCAUAAUUGGGCACCAAUGGUAUAGGCAUCAAAAAGUGACGUUAAGUGCGGUUUGGUUGAACUGGUACUUCAAUUUCCACCUCCGGUUUAGCAGCAAGCACAAUAGCAACUCGCAUCAAUUGCAUAACUUGCUUCUCAUUUCCACCUCGUAAACGUUCUGCUUGGAUGGCUCUAUCUCGCCUUUUUAUUGACUACUGCAUUUGGGGAUGGGACAAUCUACCUUGAACUGUUCUCAUAAACUAUGCAAAUCUCAUUUCCUUUCCAGAAGGUUUGGAGAUUCAUGGCUGAGGGAGAGGAAGACUUGCCCAGGGAUGCGAAAAUUGUGAAGUCAUUGAUUAAAUCCUUGGGUGUUGAGGAGCAUGAGCCCCGUGUUGUGCACCAGUUUCUGGAGUUGUGGUACAGGUAUGCUGUCGAUGUCUUAACGGAUGCACAAGUUUACUCUGAACAUGCUGGCAAAGCCUCAAUUGACUGCGUUGAUGUUAAGCUUGCUAUCCAAUCAAAAGUGAAUUUCAGCUUCUCACAACCCCCACCUUGGGAGGUAUUUUUAGCUUUCUCUUUACCCCCAUCCAAGUGUUUACGUGUGCAUAUGAUAGCAAUCUCUAUUGCUAUGAUCUCAUUGUCUAAAGUUGGGAAAGGAAUGCCACUUUUCUUAAAAAGGUUGACAUGUGGCCAUUUGGGAUCCUUAUUUCUUAGUAAGAAUUGGAUAUGCGGGAGAGAAUUACUAGUAAGAAUUGGUUCAAGAUAUCAUUUGAUUUGUUAUGAGUGUAGGACUAUGAAUGUUUUUUUACAGGUUGCUGUUAAGAAAAUGAAGAGGAAGUUCUAUUUUUGGCACAGCAGAGCAGCAGAAUAGAAACAGCAGCACAGCAAAUAGCAGAGCAGCAGGUUAGCCUGAACACGCAACAACACAUCAGCCAGCAGAGCAGCCACCAGCACAAGACAGCCUGCCUGAACAGAAGCAAAACCAAUCACCCAGCCAGCUUAAACAGAGCAGAAACACAGCCACAGAAGCAGAACAGCCACAACCAUCAGAGCAGAAAAACAGCCACAGCCAGCCAGCAGAGCAGCCACCAGCACAAGACCAGGACAGCUAGUUAAAUGAAAUGCAAGAAAGGUCGAUUAGAGAUAAGUCUGGAUUAUUUAAUUUUUUUUGGAUGAAAAUUGUAAUAUUACAGCCUUUUUUAAUGAAAAUAUGUAACUUUAUAUAUA